ensembl:lncRNA
AUGAAAGAUGUACUUAAUGUUUUCAUGAAAACACGCUACCUGUGUAUCUUUCCCAGGAAUGUUUAUGCUUUUGGGGCACCUGAGGCAGAUAGUGGACUUAAAAUGUCAGCACAACACCCGGGGAGGUGCUGGCAAGGUGACAAAAACACCUCCUGUUCUGCCACCAUGUAUUUAGUCCUGAAAAGGCAGUGCUUCACUAAAGGGAGAAAGUCAAGGUCAGAAGAUCCACAUAUCAUGGAGGGAUUCUUUUUCAAAAUAAGUCUUUGAAAUGAGCACAACCAUUGGGUGUCAUGUGCGGAGCACUGAAAAACUGGGAUGUUUGGCCGGACACGUGCGACAAACUGCAGGCCCUGUUCCAGAAUGGACACUCUCAAAUUUGACCUGCAGGAGCAAGAGGGGGAGAACUACAUAUAUGCUGCUGCAGAUCGCUCUGUCUGCCCCGAUCUCCAGUUCUGCUACAGCUGGGGGGUGAGCAGGGGGUAAUAGGCAUAAAUAAAGAGCCCCAUUCAAAACUCCCAUUGAGACUUCGGUCUCCUAUAACUCAGCCCCAGAAACACGUAUUAUCACAGGACUGGUCUGUCACUGACACGUAUGCAUUGUUGCCCUGAACACAGAAACAUAUGAUGGUGAGUGGUUCCUGGGCCAGGUUAAAGGAGAAGAAAUUCUCCCCAUUUAAAGGCCCCGUAGUUUUUUGUAAACAGUGGGGGGAUUUUUGAGAUACAAAGUUGGUUUUGGCAUAAAAGUUAUUGUCUUGAUUAUGUUAUGUUAAUAAAUUGCAGUCGGCUCUAGCAACCUUCAGUAAGGGCCCAGGUAUCAAGAGCCAAUACCGAAGACUGAAGGGAUACCGUCAAACAACGACCCAAACUGGGGUCCAGCCAGCAGCUGUAGCCCGCAGAAAGGUGGCAUUGGGUGGGAGAAGGGCCUUAAUACCAGGAUGACCCACAAAGAAAAAGGGGUGCUCCUCAUUGUUUGGCCCACUGUGUGGACUUAAACAUGUCCCUUGGUGGAACACAUGCUCAACAUGGCGCCGCUCCAGGUGGCUGCCUGUAGCUGCAGCUCCCGUCGUGUUUUUUGUUUUUUUGUUUUUCGGAUCAAUCACAACUUGUUCAUGAAAGUUGUGACAAUGGCUGGGUAAGUUGUUCUCCGCGUUCUUCUGUUACUUUUUCUAAUAUUUGUAGUAGUUGUAGUAGUAGUGCCGGUAGUAGUGGGCAUUGUUUACACGUGUGAACAGCUGAUUGCGCUGUGUAAGCCUGUGCUGCUGCCCGGAGACAGACCUGUGGUCCCGCAGGAGUUACGGAGGAGACGUUGGGGCUGCAGGUCUGGAGCCAAACAGAGGGAGAAAUGGAGAAGACAUAAGCCAGCGGUCCUGGCGAUAUAAUGGGAAAUGUGAGGUCUCUGGGGAAUAAAACAGACAAACUUUCAGCGCUCGUGAAGACCCAGAGGGAAUACCGUGAGUGUAGCAUAUUUUGCUUGGCUGCACUCGCACAUCCCGGACAACAGCGUGGAGGUUCCUGGUUACAGUUUGGUACGGGGAUACAGAGACUGUUUCAAAAGUCGGAAGAAGAAGGGUGGCGGGCUUGCACUUUAUGUGAGUGAGAGGUGGUGCAAUCCCGGACAUGUCAACGUGAAGGAACGGCUCUGUACCCCGGACA